rnacentral:rRNA from 1 species
UGGGGAAUAUUGCGCAAUGGGGGCAACCCUGACGCAGCCAUGCCGCGUGAAUGAAGAAGGCCUUCGGGUUGUAAAGUUCUUUCGGUAGCGAGGAAGGCACUUAGUUUAAUAGACUAGGUGAUUGACGUUAACUACAGAAGAAGCACCGGCUAACUCCGUGCCAGCAGCCGCGGUAAUACGGAGGGUGCGAGCGUUAAUCGGAAUAACUGGGCGUAAAGGGCACGCAGGCGGUGACUUAAGUGAGGUGUGAAAGCCCCGGGCUUAACCUGGGAAUUGCAUUUCAUACUGGGUCGCUAGAGUACUUUAGGGAGGGGUAGAAUUCCACGUGUAGCGGUGAAAUGCGUAGAGAUGUGGAGGAAUACCGAAGGCGAAGGCAGCCCCUUGGGAAUGUACUGACGCUCAUGUGCGAAAGCGUGGGGAGCAAACAGGAUUAGAUACCCUGGUAGUCCACGCUGUAAACGAUGUCGAUUUGGGGGUUGAACUUUAAGUUUGGCGCCCGUAGCUAACGUGAUAAAUCGACCGCCUGGGGAGUACGGCCGCAAGGUUA